rnacentral:rRNA from 1 species
GCCAUUAGCUAGUUGGUGAGGUAACAGCUCACCAAGGCUAUGAUGGCUAGGGGUUCUGAGAGGACUAUCCCCCACACUGGUACUGAGACACGGACCAGACUCCUACGGGAGGCAGCAGUAAGGAAUAUUGGGCAAUGGACGCAAGUCUGACCCAGCCAUGCCGCGUGCAGGAUGACAGCCUUAUGGGUUGUAAACUGCUUUUAUCAGGGAAUAACCGCUCGUACGUGUACGGGUCUGAAUGUACCUGAAGAAUAAGCACCGGCUAACUCCGUGCCAGCAGCCGCGGUAAUACGGAGGGUGCAAGCGUUAUCCGGAUUUAUUGGGUUUAAAGGGUGCGUAGGCGGAUAGAUAAGUCAGUGGUGAAAGCCUACAGCUCAACUGUAGAACUGCCAUUGAUACUGUUUAUCUUGAGUGUAAAUGAAGUGGGCGGAAUGUAGCAUGUAGCGGUGAAAUGCAUAGAUAUGCUACAGAACACCAAUUGCGAAGGCAGCUCACUAACAUACAACUGACGCUCAUGCACGAAAGCGUGGGGAUCAAACAGGAUUAGAUACCCUGGUAGUCCACGCUGUAAAACGAUGAUUACUCGUUGUUGGCGAUACACAGCCAGCGACCAAGCGAAAGUGAUAAGUAAUCCACCUGGGGAGUACGAUCGCAAGGUUGAAACUCAAAGGAAUUGACGGGGGCCCGCACAAGCGGUGGAGCAUGUGGUUUAUUUCGAUGAUACGCGAGGAACCUUACCUGGGCUCAAAUGUAUGUUGACGUAGUGUGAAAGCAUUAUUUUCUUCGGACAAUAUACAAGUGCU